UGGAAUAUAUAGUUGUGAACUGU
rnacentral:piRNA from 1 species